UACGUAGGGUGCAAGCGUUGUCCGGAAUUACUGGGCGUAAAGCGUGCGCAGGCGGUUCGUUAAGUUCGUUGUGAAAACCCGGGGCUCAACUCCGGGCCUGCAGCCGAUACGGGCAGACUAGAGCUCGGCAGGGGAGACUGGAAUUCCUGGUGUAGCGGUGAAAUGCGCAGAUAUCAGGAGGAACACCGAUGGCGAAGGCAGGUCUCUGGGCCGAUACUGACGCUGAGGAGCGAAAGCGUGGGGAGCGAACAGG
rnacentral:rRNA from 1 species